rnacentral:lncRNA from 1 species
AAUUUUGUGUGUAAUUGUUCAUAAUUAUUAUUUGUUUGAACUUGUCAGGUUUUGGUGUUAAAGUUCUUCUGGUCUCUCAAAAUGCGUUACAACAGCUGGAGAGAAAAACAUACCAAGUUCAAAUAUGACAAGAACAGCAAAGACAGUAAAGGAGAACAAGCAGUUUAACUCAAAAUGUGAAUUAAGGGCCAUGCUGGGCAUGGCAGUCAUUUUGUAAAGUCCACAGCUAGCCAAGCUCCCUGGAAGAAAUCAAACCAACACAGCUUUUCUCCACCUUCAAAUAACAACAAAUAAAACCAGAAGGAAUAUCUCUGAAAUGGGAUGUCUCAAUAAACUGUCUAAAAGAAAGUAGUAGAGGUAUUUCUUCUAACUUAAAGUUACUGAAACCACUUCCCCUCACUGUGUACGAGGUGAGUGGGGUGUAACUGAUCUAUGAACUCUUGAGGAGUGCUAGCCCUCACUCGAUGGUCAACACAGCUUCUGCAGGAGCUGAAGCAAAGAUGGGCCAGCAGACAUCUCCCUGCAUUAUGGUGAUGGAUUCAAUGCCUGUGAUGCUCAGAGGAGAUCGCCAUGAAGGGGAGCAGACGCCCCUGAUUUGUGUCUGCAGGCAGUGAAUGCUAAGAUGCAGGUGGAUCAACAAACCCUCUGUCCCAGGCAGCAAUGGAGAAUGGCAUUUGUGAUUCAUAAUCAUGGGCAUUAAGAGCUCAGAUGCAGAUGCCAUUUGGUUGCAAAAGUUGGAGCUGGAUGUUGAUGACCACACACCUCUAGUUACCACGGAGCUAUCACCUGCUGAGGGGUCCUUCAGACAGCCUCAAUCUGGGUUGGGUGGCAACAUGCCUACCACACCUGGUCGUCAUAACACAGUCUUCAUAAAAACCCAGACUCCAGGCCUGCUAGGGCAGAAGGUGCCUUGAGAACAUGAGUUUCUCUUCUCCAUUCACUGGCCAUUGAAUUUCUUGCCUGCUCUCAAAAAUAAACAAAAGCAAUAACAACAACAACAACAGCAAAAGAACUUCAAUGGAGGGCUCUACUCUUCUUUUUGCAGUUGGAAAAAAAGCACGUGGAAGAAAAUUUAUAUGAUACAGAGUGUGUGGGAUGGUAGUGGCAGAAAGCGUAGUAUUUUAGGAAAGAUGAGAAUGGUCUAGUGCUGUUCAUCAUUGUUCUAUCAAAUCAAAUUUACCUGUCCACCUUCCCCUUUCUUCCUCAAACAAAAAGGAUCUCUAUUUAAACGGAGCAUAGUACAUUUAGAAAGAAAACUCUCUGGCUUUUGUUGAUUGUGCUAUGGAAUGGAAUGAAGUUCAAAAGAAAAAAAAAUAGUCACAGUAAUGUCUGCUGCAUCUGAGGCCACAAGGACACUCAGUGUAACCAUGUCAUAAAUCAUCAAAGACAAAUGCUCAGGAGGAUCUGUUUCUCUGGGACAGCUCGCCUCAUUUAAUAUGUCUUCUACUGCCAUGAUAGCAACUCUUUCGUUGUUCCUCUCUUCCUUUGCUCAAUGGUAAUUGUCCUUCUGCCCAGACCAUUCAUCUCUCACAGAGUUGUCUCCCGAUGAGGAGAUAUGUACAACCAGCUCUGAGUUAUGCAUUCUUAGUCUGGAAACCCCUAUGUUUUGGUUCAGUACUGUUCAAAGUUAAACUGAAGAGAAACCAAAAGCACAUAAGAAAAAAAAAAUGGCUGCUGGAAAAGUUGGUUGGAUAAAAUAAUGAAUGUUGAUGAAAACACCUCUUUUGCUGUACUCCAUUAAUAAAAAA